rnacentral:rRNA from 1 species
UACGUAGGGUGCAAGCGUUGUCCGGAAUUAUUUGGGCGUAAAGGGCGCGUAGGCGGCCUGGCAAGUGGAAGGUGAAAUCCCUCGGCUUAACCGAGGAACUGCCUCCCAAACUGCUUGGCUUGAGACCGGGAGAGGUGAGUGGAAUUCCCAGUGUAGCGGUGAAAUGCGUAGAUAUUGGGAGGAACACCAGUGGCGAAGGCGGCUCACUGGACCGGUACUGACGCUGAUGCGCGAAAGCG